GACGAGGACAGAAUUGAUGAGCCUGA
rnacentral:piRNA from 1 species